CAGACUGAGGGCGAAACAGCAGGCAGGACUGGGUGGAGACGUUCGGGGACGUGGCAACUGGAGUUUCUUCUCCGUAUAUUUCGGCAUUCAGUUCCUUUUUUUUUUUGUUUUAACUCAGGAAAAAAUCUCAAUUGCGUUUAGUAUUUUGAAAGCCACUUUAUUGCUUCCCGAGCCUCAGUCAUGUGUGGUGGGAGGCUGCUGUGGGUGGCACCUGGGGCGUCCACGGCCGCCAAGGCGGGAGGACGUCAGGCCCUGCUUGCUCCCACCCCUUCCAGGUGAGAGCUCCCGGGCACGCCCGUCGUUGGCUCUUCGUCCUCUUGGUGUUCUUCCCUGUUGCUUCAAAUCAGGUUCCUGUCUCAAAAAUCCGAAAAAGAAAUCCUCCCAAAUGACUCUGUGCCCGACGCUCCGUUAAGGCAUCGUGCUAGGCGUUCUCAAACUCGUGAAAUGACUACACUGCACAGGAAGACCAAACAGAGACAGAGGUAUUGCUGAUGCUGCUGGUACCUGGACCAAACUUUGAGAACCAUUUGAAUACAGAAGGAGUACCCUAAUAGCCUAACAAAAUUAAUCCAUCAUCUCUGAAUAAUGAGGUAGAAAAAGGUCAAGCAGUGUUUUCCAGAGACUCCUCGCAGAGGCCUGGACAAGAGGCGUGCUUUUUGUCCAUACACCAUAUGGGAGGCCUCAAUGUACAUGUAGUAGCCUUGAGGUGAAUGCAAAAGCAGGCGCACACACCAAGAAAGGCCAUGUGGGCACACAGCAAGAUGGUGCCUGUCUGC
rnacentral:lncRNA from 1 species